GCAUAUCAAUAAGCGGAGGAAAAGAAACCAACCCGGGAUUGCCCUAGUAACGGCGAGUGAAGCGGCAAGAGCUCAAAUUGAAAGCUGGCCCCCUCGGGGUCCGCAUUGUAAUUUGCAGAGGAUGCUUCGGGGAGCGGUCCCCAUCUAAGUGCCCUGGAACGGGCCGUCAUAGAGGGUGAGAAUCCCGUAUGGGAUGGGGUGCCCGCGCCCGUGUGAAGCUCCUUCGACGAGUCGAGUUGUUUGGGAAUGCAGCUCUAAUUGGGUGGUAAAUUUCAUCUAAAGCUAAAUAUUGGCCGGAGACCGAUAGCGCACAAGUAGAGUGAUCGAAAGAUGAAAAGCACUUUGAAAAGAGAGUUAAACAGCACGUGAAAUUGUUGAAAGGGAAGCGCUUGCGAUCAGACUCGCCCACGGGGUUCAGCCGGCAUUCGUGCCGGUGUACUUCCCCGCGGGCGGGCCAGCGUCGGUUUGGGCGGUCGGUCAAAGGCCCCUGGAAUGUAACGCCUCUCGGGGCGUCUUAUAGCCAGGGGUGCCAUGCGACCUGCCCGGACCGAGGAACGCGCUUCGGCUCGGACGCUGGCAUAAUGGUCGUAAGCGACCCGUCUUGAAACACGGACCAAGGAGUCUAACAUCUACGCGAGUGUUCGGGUGUCAAACCCGUGCGCGCAGUGAAAGCGAACGGAGGUGGGAACCCUCACGGGUGCACCAUCGACCGAUCCUGAUGUCUUCGGAUGGAUUUGAGUAAGAGCGUAGCUGUUGGGACCCGAAAGAUGGUGAACUAUGCCUGAAUAGGGCGAAGCCAGAGGAAACUCUGGUGGAGGCUCGCAGCGGUUCCCCGGG
rnacentral:rRNA from 1 species